rnacentral:rRNA from 1 species
UAAGGGUGCGUAGGUGGUCAUUUAAGUCUGAUUUGAAAGCAAGCGGCUUAACCGUUUGAUGUGGUUGGAAACUGAAUGACUUGAAUGGGUUGGCGGUAGCCGGAAUGGGUCAUGUAGCGGUGAAAUGCAUAGAUAUGACCCGGAACACCGAUUGCGAAGGCAGGCUACUACGACUUGAUUGACACUGAGGCACGAGAGCAUGGGUAGCGAACAGGAUUAGAUACCCCAGU